rnacentral:rRNA from 1 species
UGGGGAAUAUUGCGCAAUGGGCGAAAGCCUGACGCAGCAACACCGCGUGAGGGAUGACGGCCUUCGGGUUGUAAACCUCUUUCAGCUCCGACGAAGCGAAAGUGACGGUAGGAGCAGAAGAAGCACCGGCUAACUACGUGCCAGCAGCCGCGGUAAUACGUAGGGUGCAAGCGUUGUCCGGAAUUAUUGGGCGUAAAGAGCUCGUAGGCGGUCCGUUGCGUCUGCCGUGAAAACCCGGAGCUCAACUCCGGGCCUGCGGUGGAUACGGGCGGACUAGAGUCCGGUAGGGGAGACUGGAAUUCCUGGUGUAGCGGUGGAAUGCGCAGAUAUCAGGAGGAACACCGGUGGCGAAGGCGGGUCUCUGGGCCGGAACUGACGCUGAGGAGCGAAAGCGUGGGGAGCGAACAGGAUUAGAUACCCUGGUAGUCCAC